GGUUUAGAUGAGGUCAUGAAGGUGGAGACCCCAUGAUGGGAUUAGUGCCCUUAUGAGAAGAGAUGCCAGAGAGCUUGAUUCCUCUCUGCUCUGCCAGCGGAGGACACAAAAAGAAGCAGGAAGUCUGCAAGCCAAGAAGAGGGCCCUUAACGGGAACUGAGUCUGCCAGCACAUUGAUCUUGGACUUCUCAGUCUCUAGAAUUGGGAGAAGUAGAUUUAUGUUGUUUAAGCCACCCAGCGUACAGUAUUUAGUUAUAGCAGCCUGAACUUACCCCAAAGACAGUGGGCACUCCUUAAAUGGGAGGAUAGUAACUCUAAACUGGGGCCGUUGUGAGUCUUCAAUCAGGUAACGGGUGUGCAUGCGAGCUGUAUACAAAGACCCUUACUGUUGGUCUUACUGCUGAAAAAUAACUCAGAGAUAGGAAUUUGAAAUUCAUUCAUCCAUUUAUUUCACAAUUAGUUCUGAGCCCAGGUAUGUGCUGUAUUCAGGGUUCACGGUUCUGCAGAUACAGACAGCAGUGAAUAAGCCAAGUCCCUGUCUUUCUGGAGCUUGGGAGUUCUCAGAAGAUCAGAUUUCUUUUUGUUUUUUUUUUCACGCUUUGUUCCAAUUUCACUAAAGAGUGGUUUUCAGGAAAGUGCAACCUUAUACACGGCAGAGGGGUGGCACAGAGUGUUAUGACGGAGGGGUGAGCAUGCCUGUCAGUGAGGUAAAAUGCAGGAACUAAUGGAAUCUACCUUGCUGGGCUAUUGUGAAGAUAAUCUAUGUAAAGCACUUGGCGUCAGUCAGAGG